rnacentral:rRNA from 1 species
UACGGAAGGCAGCAGUGGGGAAUAUUGGACAAUGGGCGCAAGCCUGAUCCAGCCAUGCCGCGUGUGUGAAGAAGGCCUUCGGGUUGUAAAGCACUUUUGUCCGGAAAGAAAAGCUUAGGGUUAAUAACCUUGAGUCAUGACGGUACCGGAAGAAUAAGCACCGGCUAACUUCGUGCCAGCAGCCGCGGUAAUACGAAGGGUGCAAGCGUUACUCGGAAUUACUGGGCGUAAAGCGUGCGUAGGUGGUUUGUUAAGUCUGAUGUGAAAGCCCUGGGCUCAACCUGGGAAUGGCAUUGGAAACUGGCUUACUAGAGUGCGGUAGAGGGGUGUGGAAUUCCCGGUGUAGCAGUGAAAUGCGUAGAUAUCGGGAGGAACAUCUGUGGCGAAGGCGACACCCCUGGGACCAGCACUGACACUGAGGCACGAAAGCGUGGGGAGCAAACAGGGAUUAGAUACC